rnacentral:rRNA from 1 species
GAGUUUGAUCCUGGCUCAGAUUGAACGCUGGCGGCAUGCCUUACACAUGCAAGUCGAACGGCAGCAUGAUCUAGCUUGCUAGAUUGAUGGCGAGUGGCGAACGGGUGAGUAAUACAUCGGAACGUGCCCUGUAGUGGGGGAUAACUAGUCGAAAGAUUAGCUAAUACCGCAUACGACCUGAGGGUGAAAGUGGGGGACCGCAAGGCCUCAUGCUAUAGGAGCGGCCGAUGUCUGAUUAGCUAGUUGGUGGGGUAAAGGCCCACCAAGGCGACGAUCAGUAGCUGGUCUGAGAGGACGAUCAGCCACACUGGGACUGAGACACGGCCCAGACUCCUACGGGAGGCAGCAGUGGGGAAUUUGGACAAUGGGCGAAAGCCUGAUCCAGCAAUGCCGCGUGUGUGAAGAAGGCCUUC